GACGAACGCUGGCGGCGUGCCUAAUACAUGCAAGUAGAACGCUGAAGGAGGAGCUUGCUUCUCUGGAUGAGUUGCGAACGGGUGAGUAACGCGUAGGUAACCUGCCUGGUAGCGGGGGAUAACUAUUGGAAACGAUAGCUAAUACCGCAUAAGAGUAGAUGUUGCAUGACAUUUACUUAAAAGGUGCAAUUGCAUCACUACCAGAUGGACCUGCGUUGUAUUAGCUAGUUGGUGAGGUAACGGCUCACCAAGGCAACGAUACAUAGCCGACCUGAGAGGGUGAUCGGCCACACUGGGACUGAGACACGGCCCAGACUCCUACGGGAGGCAGCAGUAGGGAAUCUUCGGCAAUGGACGGAAGUCUGACCGAGCAACGCCGCGUGAGUGAAGAAGGUUUUCGGAUCGUAAAGCUCUGUUGUAAGAGAAGAACGAGUGUGAGAGUGGAAAGUUCACACCGUGACGGUAUCUUACCAGAAAGGGACGGCUAACUACGUG
rnacentral:rRNA from 1 species